rnacentral:rRNA from 1 species
GAGCGCUCCACUCCAGAUCCCUUCGGGGUGACGGUUGUGGCUCGAGCGGCGGACGGGUGAGUAACACGUAGGGCAACCUGUCCUGUUAAGACCUGGGAUAACCCCGUGGACAACCGGAGCUAAUACCAGAUAAUCACCGACACCGCAUGGUGUCGAUGUAAAAGAUGGUUCUGCCAUCACUUACAGAUGGGCCCGCGGCGCAUAAGCUAGUUGGUGGGGUAAAGGCCUACCAAUGCGACGAUGCGUAGCCGACCUGAGAGGGUGAUCGGCCACACUGGGACUGAGACACGGCCCAUACUCCUACGGGAGGCAGCAGUAUGGAAUCUUCGGCAAUGGACGAAAGUCUGACCGAGCAACGCCGCGUGAGUGAUGAAUGUCUUCGGAUCGUAAAUCUCUGUUGUCAGAGAAGAUCUCGUGAUAGAUGAAAUGCUAUCACCUUGACGGUAUCUGACCAUAAAGCCCCGGCUAACUACGUGCCAUCAGCCGCGGUAAU